AGGGGCGGGCUCUCGGUGGUGCGGCCGGCAGGCAGCUAUGGCGGCCGUACGGGGCCUGCGGGUGUCGGUGAAGGCGGAGGCCCCGGCGGGGCAAGACCUGGGGCUCCCGUCCCCUGAGGCGGAGUCGGGUGUUGACCGUGGCGAGCCGGAGCCCAUGGAGGUGGAGGAGGGCGAGCUGGAAAUCGUGCCCGUGCGGCGCUCGCUCAAGGAACUGAUCCCGGACACGAGCAGAAGAUACGAAAACAAGGCUGGCAGCUUCAUCACUGGAAUUGAUGUCACCUCCAAGGAAGCAAUUGAAAAGAAAGAGCAGCGAGCCAAGCGCUUCCAUUUUCGAUCAGAAGUAAAUCUUGCCCAAAGAAAUGUAGCCUUGGACCGAGACAUGAUGAAGAAAGCAAUUCCCAAAGUGAGACUGGAGACAAUCUAUAUUUGCGGAGUAGAUGAGAUGAGCACCCAAGAUGUCUUUUCCUAUUUUAAAGAAUAUCCUCCAGCUCACAUCGAAUGGUUGGAUGAUACCUCCUGUAAUGUAGUUUGGCUGGAUGAAAUGACAGCCACUCGAGCACUUAUCAAUAUGAGCUCCCUGCCUGCCCAGGAUAAGAUAAGAAGCAGGGAUGCCAGUGAGGACAAGUCAGCCGAGAAAAGGAAAAAAGACAAGCAGGAGGACAGUUCAGAGGAUGAUGAAGCUGAAGAAGGAGAGGUUGAAGAUGAGAAUUCCAGUGAUGUGGAGUUGGACACGUUGUCUCAGGUAGAAGAGGAGUCUUUGUUAAGAAACGAUCUUCGUCCAGCUAACAAACUUGCUAAAGGAAACAGGUUAUUCAUGAGAUUUGCUACAAAAGAUGACAAAAAGGAACUUGGAGCAGCCAGAAGAAGUCAGUAUUAUAUGAAAUAUGGGAAUCCAAAUUACGGAGGCAUGAAAGGAAUUCUUAGCAAUUCAUGGAAGCGAAGAUAUCAUUCCCGUCGUAUUCAGCGGGACGUGAUCAAGAAGAGAGCCCUGAUUGGGGAUGACGUUGGCUUGACGUCGUAUAAACAUCGGCAUUCUGGGCUAGUGAAUGUUCCCGAGGAACCCAUUGAAGAGGAGGAAGAGGAGGAGGAGGAAGAGGAAGAGGAGGAAGAAGACCAGGACAUGGAUGCAGAUGACAGAGUGGUGGUAGAGUACCACGAGGAGCUCCCGGCUCUCAAGCCGCCCCGGGAGCGGAGUGCGUCUAGACGAUCCAGUGCCAGCAGCUCAGACUCAGAUGAAAUGGACUAUGAUCUAGAACUGAAAAUGAUUUCCACCCCUUCACCAAAGAAAAGCAUGAAAAUGACUAUGUAUGCUGAUGAAGUGGAGUCUCAGUUGAAAAGUAUUAGGAACUCCAUGAGGGCAGAUAGUGUAUCUUCAAGCAAUAUCAAAAACCGAAUUGGUAACAAAUUACCACCUGAGAAAUUUGCAGAUGUCCGACAUCUAUUAGAUGAGAAGCGUCAGCACUCCCGUCCACGGCCACCAGUCAGCAGUACUAAAUCAGAUAUACGCCAGCGGUUAGGAAAAAGACCAUAUUCUCCGGAAAAGGCUUUUAGUAGUAACCCAGUCGUUCGGAGAGAGCCCUCUUCUGAUGUGCAUAGUAGGCUCGGUGUUCCCAGGCAAGAUAUUAAAGGCCUCUACGCCGAUACUCGGGAGAAGAAAUCAGGUAAUUUAUGGACUCGCCUAGGAUCUGCACCCAAGACCAAAGAAAAGAAUACGAAGAAAGUGGAUCACAGGGCACCUGGCGCUGAGGAAGACGACUCCGAGCUGCAAAGGGCGUGGGGGGCUCUGAUUAAGGAGAAAGAGCAGUCUCGCCAAAAGAAGAGCCGCUGUUACCAGCACCCUUUUCCCAAGAAAAGUCAAUUCCCAGGUGCUUAUUGGACAUCCUUCGAGGGGGAAGAGGAGGGAAGCGGCCAGCUCACCCUUCCGGGACCCUAGUGUGGGGGCGAAUCUCACCGACCUGACCUCAGAGGUGCACCAGUGCCGCCCAGUUUUGAGAAACAGUGUUUCGCUUCGGUUUGCUGGAACAUGGGAGUUAGAGAUGGUCGUAAGCCGUAAGCCGUGGUCCUUUUUGCGACGUCACAACUCUUCACCUGCCUGGGCUGUGCCGCACACAGUGCAGCCUGGAUCCUGGCCAUCUGUACUUGUGGCCGAGCUCAUGGUCACAUUGAUAGUUGAUUACACUGUGGCACGAAUGAAUGCAGAACACUGUUAUUAAUAAAGGAAGUAAAAGGGUUGCAAGAUUUGAGAGCUGCAACAAAAACUGUAUUGUCCCAUAUUUUGUUGAUUAACCUGCUUUUUCUCCCUCCCUUUAGAGUAUUAGAGCAUAUAACUGUGAUGUAUUUCAGCUUCCUAAUAGGAUUCUAGGAGAGAGAUGGUUCUGGUUUCUCUGCCAGUUGAGACCUAAGGCAUCUGAGAUUCCUCAGCUUUCCUUUCCCUGUGAAGCACACGGCUGAGAGCCAGGUUCUUAAGAAGGGUCAGGGGUUGGGGAGUUGGUAGAGUGAGAAGUGCGGGGGUCUGAGAAUCAGAGACCUGGAUGCCAACCCCCGGCUCUGCUCCAUGGACCUGGGCCUCAGUUUUCCCAUCUAGCAGUUGAGUGAGCUGGUACCAGAAUUCCUGGCUUUGUUGGUGCGUCUCAGUGGCAGUUUACUGUUCCCAAGCUGUGAUGGCGGUGGGCUGGCCAGCAAGAAUUUCUAUUGCAGGUGGCUGGAGGAAGCGCCGAGGAGAGAGCGAGCAUGAGGUGUGGACAGGGGCUUUUCCCAUCCCAGCACAGUCUCUCGUUCUGCCAGUGGGGCAGAGGUGUCUUGUGGUCAGGGUCCCAGCUGGCAUGGCCUCUGCAGCGUUUAGAAUCUGCCCCUUCGCAGACUUUGCUUUUGGUUUUCCACCAGCAGCUCGGGCCCGUUUGUUCCAUGGCCUUUCAGCGCUCACCAGUCUCUUGCUGGAGAUCAGCAAAAACAUUCUGGAAGGAGGUGGUGUGCAGUCAGAACUGGGUCUUUGAUCUAACCUAGAAAAAUACACACUUGAGUAGCCUUCAGUUUUCACAGACACGCAGAGGGAACCCAGAAAGGCAGGUUUGAAGAUUUUACUUCUCGGAGUUACUGGCCUUAUUAGGCUCUCUAACCCUUCAGCCCACUCUCAGUCACUCAGAUCUUGCAACAUCUUGAGUGUGUCCUGAAUGACGAGGCCUUUUCUUUGGAGUUUAGGAGUGAGAAUGGAUAGUCAGGACAGGCCUCUGGCAGGCAGCUGGGCGUGCUUUUACCCUGGACGCUCCCCACACAUGUGGGCACAGGGCUACCCACUUUGUGUAUUCCUCUUAGUCUUAUAGGUAGGAGAUUUUAAAUCCAUGUUUGCUGCUUGAUGGUAAUUGCAGAUACCUCGUUUGUUUCCCACUCUCCUCUCUGGAGAGUUUCCAGGUACCCAGGAGAACUUGUGGCGUCCACCGCAGGAUGGAGUCUCCUUCUCUGGCCCCCUUGUAGUCUGAUCCUGUGAACCCCUCCCCUUACUUCAGCCACUGUCCUUUCCAGCUGCAUUUGUACAGCAGCCUCUUCACUGCUCUCUGCCCUUUCUCCGUUCUGCACACCGCAGCUGGGAUGAACCUUUGUUGUUGUUACCAGCUUAAUUAAGAUAUAAUUUGCAUACAGUUCAGCCAUUAAAAGUGUACACUUCA